CAACUACAGGAAGUGCUGAGACACCAUCUCUGGGGCUCAGGAAAAAUUGCUCUUGAAGUCUGCAGCCUUUGAGUCACCUCGGACUAUUGGAAUCAGCCAUUUCUUUAAAGAGGUCUGCUUCUCUUUUAACUGGAUAUUAGAAACAAGAUCUGGAUUUCAGCUAUUCUCCUUGCUACUGAGGUUUUAUGUGGACAAGAGUUUUCAAAAAUCUGGAAGUUCCAUUGAUGGAUCAUAUGGAAAGAUUAUUUACAUUUGUAAAAAACUGACAGACUGUUUUCCAAAGUGGCAGUACCAUUUUGCAUUUCCACCAGCAAUGAAUGAGAGUCCCUGACGCUCCACAACAUCAG